AUGCCAUGUGAGGAUACCGUCAACAUAACGUAUUGUGAGGAUUCAGGGCUGGGGCGGAGUACCCUGGGCAAAAGUGAGAAGCUGGGGCUUAGCUAUGUAUGGAGCCGAGGCACCCACACCAGCCACAGAUGCCUGCAGGAUAGUGGGCUGUCAGCUCAGCCCAGUGCAGUGAGAAACGGUGACUUUUCAAAAUAUGCAAUAUAUAUAUUUGGCUUGUCUUCAUUUUUGGCACUUGUUUAUCACAGAAGGAAAAAAAAAAACAAGCUUGUGGGGAAAUUGAAUAAUCUCUAUAAAAAAGAAAAGCACAGUAAUAAAUUAUAUAUACUUUUUUCCCCUGUCAAAAUUCAGCAUUUCAUAUCUGAUCAAAAGUUUUAAAAUCUCUUUUUUUUUUUUAGGCUUACAUUACAUUAGAUAAAUGGGUUCUUAAAAUGCACUUACAACAGAACCCUCAUUCUGAUUAAAUUUUCAGUUCAGUCACUACCCACUUCAUUUUUUAUGGGCUUCAUAGGAGAAACUUUAAAAACAUCAUAAGAUGAUCCAGGACUCGCUCAACUUGCUUACUGUGAGUGGUUUUGGUUUCCAGGUGCAAUUCUGUAGCAUCUAAAUUGGCAGAGAGGAAACAGCUAGGCUUCCUCUCAGCUUGACACCCCAUUCAAGACUCCUCUCAGCCCUUCUUAUGAAGCACAUGGCAGAUCUUUGCGCAGUGCACUGGGGUCUGGGGUUGGUUCUGUACUGCGUUCAUCCUUAAAGCAGUUACUGAAGGUGAUACGUGCUUGGUUAAGAUUUCCUGGUUUUGUUUGGUUCAGGCAUUGGUGAUAAGUGGAAGACCUACCUGUGUGUUGAUCCUCACUUUCACGUUAACUAGUUUUAAGAUGGUUAGUAAACACACCCAGGUCUUUCACAAAAGGCUUGGAGAUGACUUAGGGCCAACCUCAUAUGGCCGUGGAGGUUAAUGGUGUCAUCUAAUGUCACAGGGAGAUGUGUGUAGUUAGGAUUUGGUUUUCUUGACCCAGUGUGCGGUACUCACCAGACUGUCUGCUACCACACAAUUUAAGCUGGUUAAGCUCCUCGAUGAUGCACAGUGACCAGCUUCACAUGAUUUACUUUAUUAAGAAGAAAAUAGAUGUGGAAUUGUUUUCAAAGAUACAACGUAAAUGAUUAUAUUAUGGUGUGUUAUUUCUCUGUCGAGCUUCAUAUUUGUUGAUAGGUUUUUCUUUCUUCUUUUGCGCACAGUGCUAAUAAGUCCUUUCCAAACUCUUGUCCCCUAGAUCUGUCUUUUGGAUUGUCAGAGUUGGUUUUCACUGAUUACUUUUUCUCUGUGUGAUGGGUAACAUUCUUCUUUUUAUUUUAGUCUAGUAAUUCUUAUCAUAUUCUAGAUAUUGUGACCAUUGCGGAACUCUAGAUUCUGUUGUGCUCUCUGAAUAUAUUGAUAUUUCUGUUUGUUUUAGCAGGUAGUCAACUUGGCAAGAUUCAGACUCUAAACUGUCCCCUCUGUGGUGGGCAGCAAUCAGCAUUUUUGUUCAGUCCCUUCAGCUUGCGCUCCUCUCUGCAAUGAGUUCUGG
rnacentral:lncRNA from 1 species